rnacentral:lncRNA from 1 species
GAUGCCUGGCAAGGAGAGUCUCAGAACGGUGCUUACUGCUUACGAGAAUACCGAGCGUUGGGAAAUGUGAAGACACUCAGUGGAGGCGGGAGAUGGAGGCGAAUAGUUCCUUGAACCUCGUCGCGCAGAUGAAAGGUUUUAAACGGAUUUUCUGAAGUUGCCCCGCGUCCGGAUCUUUUUGUACCGGUCGCGUCGCCUGCUUGCUAAGGAGUGCGCCUCCGGGGGAGGUGUGUGCGCGCGCGCUGGAGGCGGGGAGGCGGUGGAGAGGGGCCUGGCUCCCGGAAUAAACAGCGGGGGAGCGGCUGGGCGGACGCCCGCAGCCAGGGGAGCGAGGUGCAAGGGCCGAAGGCCACAGAAGCGAGCCCCGGGAUGGUAGCGAGGAGAUCGGAAAGCCUUUGAUGCCAGAAGCCGCUGGUUGGAGACAGUGACAGCCGAGCCCUGCCCCUCCGAGGGAGUCUCUAGCUGUGCCUCAGACCUUAAGAGUACCCAACCUUGGGGAUUCUGUUUCAGCAACAGACACCAGACUAAACUAACGUGAUGGCAAACUGUGUGAAGAGUCUUGGAAAUAUCCAGUGUUCCUCGUGGACAAGUGGAGACCUGCUGGUUGUGUUCAUCCGCCUGGAGCAUCGGCCAGGUUGCAGGUUAUCUGUUGUCUGUGGGCCAUGCCUCAGGGCAGAGCCCGAGACAGAACUAGAAGAAAUGCCAAGGACUUUAUGAAACCAGUCAAGCAUCUAGGACUCAUGGAUGAGAUUCAGUUCUGUGCUGUGUAAACUGAAGGAAGAGCAACAAGACCUGAUAAAGAAGUGAUACUGUGCCUACAGUAAAACUGGGAUUUCCCUCGGAACCACCCCCCAUGAAUAUAGAAGUAAUCUGUGGCCAAGGAUACUUUUAAAAAUGUAUUUAUCAAACAAUAUUUAACAUAUACAAGGGAAACUAAUAAAGAGUUUUAAUUUUGUGAAGAACUUAACAAUAGUGGCAGAAAUUUUAUGGGAAUAUGGAUCACUUCCUC